rnacentral:rRNA from 1 species
AGUGAACGCUGGCGGUAGGCCUAACACAUGCAAGUCGAACGGCAGCACAGUAAGAGCUUGCUCUUACGGGUGGCGAGUGGCGGACGGGUGAGGAAUACAUCGGAAUCUACUUUUUCGUGGGGGAUAACGUAGGGAAACUUACGCUAAUACCGCAUACGACCUACGGGUGAAAGCAGGGGAUCUUCGGACCUUGCGCGAUUGAAUGAGCCGAUGUCGGAUUAGCUAGUUGGCGGGGGUAAAGGCCCACCAAGGCGACGAUCCGUAGCUGGUCUGAGAGGAUGAUCAGCCACACUGGAACUGAGACACGGUCCAGACUCCUACGGGAGGCAGCAGUGGGGAAUAUUGGACAAUGGGCGCAAGCCUGAUCCAGCCAUACCGCGUGGGUGAAGAAGGCCUUCGGGUUGCAAAGCCCUUUUGUUGGGAAAGAAAAGCAGCAGGUUAAUACCCCGCUGUUCUGACGGUACCCAAAGAAUAAGCACCGGCUAACUUCGUG